rnacentral:tmRNA from 1 species
GGAAAUGGAAUUUUGGGGGCGAAAUAGGAUCGACGCAUGUGGUAAAGGCAUUAUUUUCGUUCGGUAUGGUACCCGCCGUUAUCGGGCCAUGUAGUAGUUGCAAACGACAACACUGCUCCGGUUGCUAUCGCUGCUUAAUGCAGCAGGCGUAACCACUUUAAAGUCCUGACGGAUUGAGCUCUGUCAGGCGGGGUUUGGGGCUGCACCUGGCAACAGAAGCGGUCCCGCU